rnacentral:antisense_RNA from 1 species
UGUGGGAGCGGGCUUGCUCGCGAAGGCGGUGGGUCAGCCACAUUAUUAUCGACUGAUAUACCGCCUUCGCGAGCAAGCCCGCUCCCACA